rnacentral:snRNA from 1 species
UUGCUUUGGCAGCACCUAUACUAAAAUGGGAAUGAUACAAAGAUUAGCAUGGCCCCUUCGCAAAAAUGACACACAAAUUCGCAAAGCGUUCUAUAUUUUU